UCACAGAAUCAUUUAGGUUGGAAAAGACCUCCAAGGUCAACAAGUCCAGCCUUUGACUGAACACCACUUUGUCAACUAAACCAUAGCACUGUGUGCCGUGUUCUGUUGUUUCUUGAGCAAUUCCAGGGAUUGUGACUCCACCACCUCCUUGGGCAGCCUGUUCCAGUGCCUGACCACUCUUCAGUGAAGAAACAUAUAUUGUGUGGCUGAGGGCCUUCCAUAUCACUUGCAUCUCCUAAAACUGAGUCCAGUUCUCUUCAGUUUCUCCCAGCAUGGCAGUUCCCUUUGAAUUCAUCUUUGCAGUUCCUCUCCUGUUGUUGGCUUCUGCACAUUUGCUAAUUUACAGAGACCUUCAGACUUUGCAGAUUAUGCAGAUACUGGCAAUCCCUCUCACAUUACUGGGAUAUGAAGGUAUGACGCCCAGUCCUGUUCCCAUGAAAGUUGGUGCCAAACCUCCCAUAAAAUAUUAUGAGAACAGGACUGAGCCUCAGAAUCUUCAUUCCAUUCUCCCUGAUGGCAAUUAAAAUAACAUUAAAAUUAGAAACGGAAUUAGCAGGUGCCAGACUUCUUGUUAUCUUCCAUCUUCUGUGUUUGGUAUGACAUUCUUCUGAUAAUGAUUGCAUUCACUGAGCUGAUACAUACAAAAUGUGGAUGCUCCAGACUUUUCAUAGUGUGGAGCACAUGCUAAGAAAAAUUGAGGACUGCCCUUCAAUGUACAGUCUGCCUUUCCAUUUAUAAUGGCAAAGCACUCGCGUGGCAAAACCAAUGCUGCAUAGAGAGUUAAAUACUGUUUGUGUCCUUUUACCUUUAUUUGGUGUGAAUCAUUUUGUCUUUUUUUAAAAUGUUAAUGACUGUCUGAAGUUGUUCCCUUUUUCAGCCCCACCCUGCACUUCAGAUAAUUCUGCCCUUUGGAAAAACACUGAUAUCAAACACACUUCCUUUCAAAAUGAAGUUGGAUAUAUGCAAGUCGUUUCAUCAGAACUUUCAAUUUAUAUCAUUACAGUGAUACAAUUAUCAUGGUGUUAGUAUGCUGUAAUA